UACGAAGGGGGCUAGCGUUGCUCGGAAUUACUGGGCGUAAAGGGCGCGUAGGCGGACGGCUUUGUCGGGCGUGAAAUUCCAGGGCUUAACCUUGGGGCUGCGUUCGAGACGGGUUGUCUAGAGUUUGGAAGAGGGUCGUGGAAUUCCCAGUGUAGAGGUGAAAUUCGUAGAUAUUGGGAAGAACACCGGUGGCGAAGGCGGCGACCUGGUCCGAUACUGACGCUGAGGUGCGAAAGCGUGGGGAGCAAACAGG
rnacentral:rRNA from 1 species